UACGGGGGGGGCAAGCGUUGUUCGGAAUUACUGGGCGUAAAGGGCUCGUAGGCGGCCAACUAAGUCGGAUGUGAAAUCCCCAGGCUUAACCUGGGAACUGCAUCCGAUACUGGAUGGCUUGAAUCCGGGAGAGGGAUGCGGAAUUCCAGGUGUAGCGGUGAAAUGCGUAGAUAUCGGAAGGAACACCAGUGGCGAAAGCGGCUUCCUGGUCCAGCACCGACGUCAGGCACGAAAGCGUGGGGAGCAAACAGG
rnacentral:rRNA from 1 species